GGUGAGUAACACGUGGGCAACCUGCCCUUGAGACGGGGAUAACUCCGGGAAACCGGAGCUAAUACCGGAUAACACAUAUCUUCGCAUGAGGAUAUGUUAGAAGGUGGCUUUUAGCUACCACUCAAGGAUGGGCCCGCGGCGCAUUAGCUAGUUGGUGAGGUAACGGCUCACCAAGGCGACGAUGCGUAGCCGACCUGAGAGGGUGAUCGGCCACACUGGGACUGAGACACGGCCCAGACUCCUACGGGAGGCAGCAGUAGGGAAUCUUCCGCAAUGGACGAAAGUCUGACGGAGCAACGCCGCGUGAGUGAUGAAGGUUUUCGGAUCGUAAAGCUCUGUUGUUAGGGAAGAACAAGUACCUGUUGAAUAAGCAGGUACCUUGACGGUACCUAACCAGAAAGCCACGGCUAACUACGUGCCAGCAGCCGCGGUAAUACGUAGGUGGCAAGCGUUGUCCGGAAUUAUUGGGCGUAAAGCGCGCGCAGGCGGUUCCUUAAGUCUGAUGUGAAAGCCCACGGCUCAACCGUGGAGGGUCAUUGGAAACUGGGGAACUUGAGUGCAGAAGAGGAGAGCGGAAUUCCACGUGUAGCGGUGAAAUGCGUAGAGAUGUGGAGGAACACCAGUGGCGAAGGCGGCUCUCUGGUCUGUAACUGACGCUGAGGCGCGAAAC
rnacentral:rRNA from 1 species